GGAGACAGGAGAACCAACUUCACAUGGCCCCUUCUUAUCUCACGUAAAUUCCUUUCCAACGCCUAAACCUUAAUUGCUUUCCUCAUUUAAAUGUCUUUUUCAAAAUCUCUACCGUGUGAUUGUGCAGCCGAAAAAGAGAGAAGAGAGAAAGGAAAACGGUAUUUUAAUACUUCGAUAACUCCAAUUCAUUUCCCUGCACGGUUCCAAGGACGCGUCUAUCUUUAGACUGCUGUAUUAAAGGGAGGAGGGGAGGAAUGAGAGCCUGAAGAAACAGAGACUCACAGAAUCAUGGGACAUUUGCCUUGAAUGAGAUCAGAGAGGCCACCCCUGCGCGUCUUUCCCUCCCAGCCAACCCCAGCACCCUCGGUUUCCUCUGGGCACACCCCAUGACUUGGGAGCAGCCGGUGCCCUGUGGGAGCCAUUUGAUUUGCCCACCCUGUCCCCUGGAUGAAUUUCAAAGGCUCUUCAAGGGACAAGGAGGUUGCAGCUGCGUGCACUGUCACCAAACAGUGGGUCCUACUUGGAGCUGAGCUGGAAAAUGGAUUCGGGGGCUGAAGAAUCAAACUUGAGGCCGUGAAAUGCUCCUUGUGACGUCCUCGUAACACUUCAUGUUGUGGAGCUGGGGGUCACCGGCUGCAGCUUCCUCCUGAUCAGGGACUCCUUAUACACAAUUGCUGAGUGGCACACAGCUAGGAAAUGGCAGGGUCGCCAGGCCCGCCGCCCUCCUGUACCUUCCUGCCCUGCUCAGUGGGGGAAGCCCAGUGUUCCCGUAGCGGGCAGCCCCAUGGCCUAGCUUGGUCUAGCGCCACAUCCUGUCCUCCGUGUGGCAAAGAGCUUCUGCUUGGCCAGUCUUGAGUCAGGCCCCGAUCCUUUUCUACGUCCAUUAGCAAAAUCCCCAGCUAAGUCAGUCUGAUACCGAGGCACGCUGAUGGGCCUUCAGCAGAAACCCCUGGAGUCUGGUUCAGCCAGAAGUGCCCCCAGACCUGACAUCUCCUCUGAGUCACUUUCCACCCACUGACCCUCUGCCCCUUGGCCGCCAAUGCCCACUCGUCCCUGCUGUGUUUGUAACUGGAGUCUCUUUUUCCCUUUGCAAUUGUCCUGAAUAAAAU